GCGUCUGUAGCUCAGUGGUUAGAGCACUCAUACGGAUUAAGAGGGUUGUGGGUUCAAGUCCCACUAGACACA